rnacentral:rRNA from 1 species
ACUCCUACGGGAGGCAGCAGUGGGAAUAUUGCAACAAUGGGAAGCCAUCGAUGCAGCCAUGCCGCGCUGUGUGAAGAAGGCCAAUUCGGGCUUGGUUAAGACACUUUUCAGUAGGGAGGAAGGUAGUGUAGUUAACACCUGCAUUAUUUGACGUUACCUACAGAAGAAGCACCGGCUAACUCCGUGCCAGCAGCCGCGGUAAUACGGAGGGUGCGAGCGUUAAUCGGAAUUACUGGGCGUAAAGCGCAUGCAGGCGGCCUGUUAAGUCAGAUGUGAAAGCCCGGGCUUAAGCC